rnacentral:rRNA from 1 species
CACGCUUGGUGUGAGGGGAAUCGACCCCCCCUUGUGCCGGAGCUAACGCGUUAAGCGUGCCGCCUGGGAAGUACGGUCGCAAGACUAAAACUCAAAGAAAUUGACGGGGACCCGCACAAGCGGUGGAGUAUGUGGCUUAAUUCGAUGCAACGCGAAGAACCUUACCAAGGCUUGACAUGCAUCUCUAAACACGUGAAAGCGUGUGACCCUUCGGGGAAUUUGCACAGGUGCUGCAUGGCCGUCGUCAGCUCGUGUCGUGAGAUGUUGGGUUAAGUCCCGCAACGAGCGCAACCCUUGUGAUUAGUUGCCAGCACGUCAAGGUGGGAACUCUAGUCAGACUGCCCAGAUCAACUGGGAGGAAGGUGGGGACGACGUCAGGUCAGUAUGGCCCUUACGCCUUGGGCUGCACACGUACUACAAUGCCCAGCACAAUGAGAACCGAUACCGCGAGGUGGAGGAAAUCUGUAAAACUGGGCUCAGUUCGGAUUGGAGGCUGCAACUCGCCUCCAUGAAGUUGGAAUCGCUAGUAAUGGUGCAUCAUCUACGGCACCGUGAAUACAUUCCCGGGUCUUGUACACACCGCCCGUCACAUCAUGGAAGCCGGUUGCACCCGAAGUGCCCGUACCAACC